rnacentral:rRNA from 1 species
AGGGUUUGAUUAUGGCUCAGGACGAACGCUGGCGGCGCGCUUAACACAUGCAAGUCGAGCGAUGAAAUUUCGACAGAUCCCUUCGGGGUGAAGAUGAAAUGGAUUAGCGGCGGACGGGUGAGUAACACGUGAGUAACCUGCCUUAGACAUUGGGAUAGCCUCGGGAAACCGGGAUUAAUACCAAAUGAAAUCACAUAUGCACAUGCAUAAAUGAUCAAAGCUCCGGCGGUCUAAGAUGGACUCGCGUCCCAUUAGCUAGUUGGUGAGGUAACGGCCCACCAAGGCGACGAUGGGUAGCCGGCCUGAGAGGGUGAACGGCCACAUUGGAACUGAGAAACGGUCCAA